rnacentral:rRNA from 1 species
CGUGCCUAAUACAUGCAAGUCGAGCGAGCGGAACUAACAGAUUUACUUCGGUAAUGACGUUAGGAAAGCGAGCGGCGGAUGGGUGAGUAACACGUGGGGAACCUGCCCCAUAGUCUGGGAUACCACUUGGAAACAGGUGCUAAUACCGGAUAAGAAAGCAGAUCGCAUGAUCAGCUUUUAAAAGGCGGCGUAAGCUGUCGCUAUGGGAUGGCCCCGCGGUGCAUUAGCUAGUUGGUAAGGUAAAGGCUUACCAAGGCGAUGAUGCAUAGCCGAGUUGAGAGACUGAUCGGCCACAUUGGGACUGAGACACGGCCCAAACUCCUACGGGAGGCAGCAGUAGGGAAUCUUCCACAAUGGACGCAAGUCUGAUGGAGCAACGCCGCGUGAGUGAAGAAGGUUUUCGGAUCGUAAAGCUCUGUUGUUGGUGAAGAAGGAUAGAGGUAGUAACUGGCCUUUAUUUGACGGUAAUCAACCAGAAAGUCACGGCUAACUACGUGCCAGCAGCCGCGGUAAUACGUAGGUGGCAAGCGUUGUCCGGAUUUAUUGGGCGUAAAGCGAGCGCAGGCGGAAGAAUAAGUCUGAUGUGAAAGCCCUCGGCUUAACCGAGGAACUGCAUCGGAAACUGUUUUUCUUGAGUGCAGAAGAGGAGAGUGGAACUCCAUGUGUAGCGGUGGAAUGCGUAGAUAUAUGGAAGAACACCAGUGGCGAA